GAGGGUAUGGCUCAGUGGUAGAGCACGUGCUUGGCAUACACAAGGUCCUGGGUUCAAUCCCCGGACCUCCU
rnacentral:tRNA from 1 species